AUUGAACGCUGGCGGCAUGCCUUACACAUGCAAGUCGAACGGCAGCACGGACUUCGGUCUGGUGGCGAGUGGCGAACGGGUGAGUAAUGUAUCGGAACGUACCUUUCAGUGGGGGAUAACGUAGCGAAAGUUACGCUAAUACCGCAUAUUCUGUGAGCAGGAAAGCAGGGGAUCGCAAGACCUUGCGCUGAUUGAGCGGCCGAUAUCAGAUUAGCUAGUUGGUGAGGUAAAGGCUCACCAAGGCGACGAUCUGUAGCGGGUCUGAGAGGAUGAUCCGCCACACUGGAACUGAGACACGGUCCAGACUCCUACGGGAGGCAGCAGUGGGGAAUUUUGGACAAUGGGGGCAACCCUGAUUCAGCCAUGCCGCGUGAGUGAAGAAGGCCUUCGGGUUGUAAAGCUCUUUCGGCCGGGAAGAAAUCGCAUGGGUUAAUACCCUGUGUGGAUGACGGUACCGGAAUAAGAAGCACCGGCUAACUACGUGCCAGCCGCCGCAGUAAAAC
rnacentral:rRNA from 1 species